GGUUGUACAACAUUGUAUUUUCAAUUAUUUUAUUUACUUCAUUUUAAGGUAUCUCAAUGCAUAUUGUUCUAUUAUAUAUGAAUCUCUGUACCAUCAUUCAUAUCCUUUUUUAUUUCCUCUUUGGUAUUUGAUAGGAACCCGAAAAUAGUUAGGCCCAAUCCAAAAUAUCCAAGGUGUAUGUUAGACAGAGAAUGAAUGACAAAGUAGGGGAUCAAAAUGGCAUGAUAGAGAAUAAAUGACAGAGUGGGGGAUAAAAAUGGCAUGAUAGAGAAUGAGAAGAAUCCUUCCAUGUAAUAAAUUGUUGAGCUAGCACGGUAGGAAAGGAGUGAUUGUGUUGUAUGGGUAUAAAGCAUGGGAAGAGAGUGGGGAAGAAUAGGCUGGUAUUUGGGAGAGACUAGGCACUCUCUAACUGUCUAGAGAUACUUUCUACUUUUAUUGUUUUGUAUUUUCUUUCCUGAUUCAGGCAUUGAUGUCAUUAUGAUACGGUCCUGUUCAUUACUAAUACAGUGAUUAUUUAGCUAUACUUUUGCUUUCUUAUUCCUUGUACCUAUCAAUAGGUAUCAAAGCUCACGAUUCCCGGGGUUUGGAUGGUUAUGAAAUAGCAAUGGAGUCGAGAGUUGAAAAUUUAGAGAAAAGUAUGCUUGAACGGAAGCAUGACAGUGAAUCCCAAUGGACGAAAUCAAAAAGCUACUAAAGGAGAAAAUUUGAGGGUACACAAGCAGCCGAUUACGACAAUGACGUUUUCCAAAACGACAAAUGGAGGGAGAGAGUCAGGGUAGUCGAGCUAUUUCAUCACGAGUUUCUGAACCUUUUUCCAGAACUCGUGAUUCUUUAAGGGGGAGUCAACCACCAAGGAGGGAUUACAAAGGGAGAAAAUUGGAGAUUCCAAUAUUUUUUUGGAGAUGAUACUUAUGAAACACCUUUACCAAGUUGGGUCCAGUUAAAGGAGGCAGUGAUUCAAAGGUUUCAAUAAGAGAUAGUGCAUAAUCCUUUUGGGCCCUUGUUGAGCAUUAAGCAAACUGGGACAGUCAUGGAAUAUAGCGAAAAAUUUGAGAUGAUUUCAAUCCCAUUGAAAAACACUGAUAAGGUAAUGUUAAAAGGAAUUUUUCUAAACGGAUUCCGUGAAGAAUUGCAAGCCGAACUGAAGCUAUACAACAUGGAGUCACUAUCAGAACUCAUGAAUCGAGCCCUAUUGUUGGGAAAGAGGAAUUGGGCUUUGAAGAAAGGGGUAUUAGGCUCCGGUGAGAAAGUGAGCACGAGUGAGAAGGGGACUCCUCCAACAGUGACGAAUAUGAGUAGAUCGAAUAAUGCAAUGGUAAAUAUUGUGAAGAAUAAAUUCUAUGCUCAAAGGCCCAAUUAUGGAAGUAUGGAACCAACUUAGCCCAAACCACUAAAUGGGUCUAGUGGAGAGAAGAAAGACACUAUGGGUAGGAGGCUUUCGCAAGUUGAGUUGCUAGAACAAACUAAGAAGGGGUUGUGUUUUAAGUGUGGGGAGAAGUAGGGACCCUGAACAUGAAUGCAGGAUGAAGCAUUAUGAGCUAAUUUUGAUGGAAGAAUGGGGGGAGGAAGAAUCGAAGGAUUGGGAUGAAGAAGAGGAAGAAAAACCAGAGUUGGAGCACAAGACACUUCAAUUGUCUUUGAAAAGUAAGGUGGGGUUGACCUAUCACAAAUCUUUUGAGAUUUGGGGAACUAUUGGCCAAAGACGAGUGCUGAUAUCGUUCCAUUGUAGAGCAACCAACAACUUCCUUUCUAGAAGAUUAGUAGCCGAGUUUGAUCUUUAAGUGGAGAAUACCCCUAUUUAUACCGUGGAGGUGGUAGUGGUGUUAGGUAUGGACUAGUUGGCUGACCUUGGUGACAUUGAAGCUAAUUUUCGAAACAUGAUUAUUAAAUGGGGAGAUGAAGGAGGCAAUAAGGUGUUCAAGGGUGAUUAAAGCCUUACAAGAUGAAGGAGUAGGCUACUGUAUUGCACACCAGUAGUUGAAGAUACAACCUUAUAAAUUAAAGAGCUUGGCUAAAAAGGUCAGUCAUAAGUUAAGUCCGAGAUAUUAUGGGCCUUAGGAAAUUGUGGAGUUUAGUCUGGCUGCCUAUACACUGCAACUACCUUCGGGAAGCAAAGUGCACCCAGUUUUCCAUGUUUCUGCAAUGAAGAAAUCCAUCACUACAACAAUCACCAGCUAACCGUUACCUCUAUUUUUAGCAAAUGAUUGGGCAUUGAAGGUUCAACCAGCAGAAGUGCUUACUGUUAGAAGGAACCAACAAGGGGAUUUCGAAAUUCUUAUUAGGUGGAAGGAUUUGCCAGAUUUUGAAAAUUUGUGGGAAGCUCUAUCUACACUCAGGUGCAUCUUGAGGAGGGGAGUGUUGAUAGGAACCCAUAAAUAGUUAGGCCCAAACCCAAAUUAUCUAAGGUGUAUGUUAGAUAGAGAAUGAAUGACAAAGUAGGGGAUCAAAAUGGCAUGAUAGAGAAUGAGAAGAAUGCUUCCAUGUAACAAACUGCUGAGCUAGCACGGUAAGAAAGGAGUGAUUUUGUUGUAUGGAUAUAAAGACUAGGAAGAUAUUAGGGGAGAGACUAGGAACUCUCUAACUGUUUAGAGAUACUUUCUACUUUUCUUACUGUUCUGUAUUUUCUUUCCUGAUUCAGGCACUGGUAUCAUUCUGAUACAGUCCUGAUUUCAUUACUAAUACAAUGAUUAUACGGUUGUACUGAGCUUUCUUAUUUCUGGUACCUAUCAGUAUUUAACCUUAGUACAUGUGUUAUGUGAAGCCCAAUUGAUUUGUUCUUUUUGAAAACCUUUCACUGUAAUGAAGAAAAGAAAGCUGACCCUCA
rnacentral:lncRNA from 1 species